AAAAAUCCUGACCACAUAUGGACAUGGAAGCAUGCCACCACUAGAAGGCAAGAACCAAUCAAUUCCAACUGUCUUCUCCAGCUCCUCCAACAGUGUUCAGUCUGCGAGGAGAAGAGCCAUGGCAUUCUCAAUCUCAACACCCACUUACCAUUUCAACUGUUUUAGCUCAUCAGAUCUUCCCUCCUCUCCCUCUUCAUCCUUCAGGCCUUUCAAAUUCCCUCUCUUCUGGCCCUGGCAAAAGGUGAAGAUGGGUACUCUCACUGUCUCUCCAAUGGGGUUUGGAACAUGGGCUUGGGGGAACCAGCUUCUGUGGGGUUAUAAGGAAUCAAUGGACACUGAUCUUCAACAGACUUUCAAUUUGGCUGUGGAGAAUGGAAUCAAUCUUUUUGAUACUGCUGAUUCUUAUGGGACUGGCAGGUUAAAUGGGCAGAGUGAAAAGCUUCUUGGCAAGUUCAUUCGAGAAUUUCCAGGUCAGGAUCUCUUUUUGGUUGGAUUUUUUUCAGAGAUAGAUAAAGGAUCUUUGGAUUGCUUUUAACAAAUUUUCUCAGGAAAACGGAUGCAAGAUGACAUUGUGAUUGCAACAAAGUUUGCUGCAUAUCCAUGGCGUCUUACACCAGGGCAGUUUGUGAAAGCUUGCAGGUAAACUUCCUUUUUCUGUUUUCUUGUGCCUUCCUUUGUUUUUAUUAAAUUUGCCUGUGAUGUGUUCGAUCAACACAUAUACCAUUCUCGGAGACACAUAUUAGAGGGGAAAUUGGGCAAGAGGGAAUAAAGAAAAAAGGGAAAAUUGCACAAGAAUUAGGAAGAGAGAAGGGAAGAGAGACUCGAAGGUUGUGAAGAGAAUCUGUUGAUGUGUACACUACUGACAUAAUCAGUCUGACUAAAACUUGUAGCUAGCUGAAAUUUCUUGUUUUUCAACACCUUCUUACCAUUCAAAUAUCUUCAGAUAAUUUCUGUGGUAUGAUAAAAUCUGAUAAGGAAUGGUUUUCCAGGGCAUCAAUGGAGAGGUUGCAACUUAAGCAAAUAGGCAUAGGUCAGCUACACUGGUCGACUGUAAACUAUGCUCCUCCACAAGAGUUAGCUCUCUGGGAUGGUUUAGUGGCAAUGUAUGAGAAGGUUAACAUAAUUUACUUUUAAUAAUAAAAUCAUUCUUUUCUGCAAAUGUUUUUCAGUAUGGUUAAAGAGACAUUGCAAGUGAAUAUAAGUCUAGUGAAUAGAAGUCUAUCUAUGCUCUUGUUCAUGGAAAAAUGAAUAGUAUUUUUAUGUACAUAUGUUUAUAUUUUGUUGUAAUAAUUACUAGUUGAUAUUUAUGAGACCUAUUCAUUAUACCCUUUGGACCGUUUCUUUAAAAUCCAAGGAAUAGAUUACAAUAUCUUUUUCCCAUCCUUCUUAAUAAAGAAUUUUGUCUUCCUUUGAUAUUCCUAGUGUUGACUCAAUAUCUUAAGCUUUCCAAAUUCCCUUCCAGAAUCCGUAUGGUUAAACUCAUGAAUGGCAUACUUUAGGGUUUAGUUCAAGCUGUUGGAGUGAGCAAUUAUGGACCGAAGCAACUUGUAAAGAUACAUGACUACCUCAAAGCCCGAGGAGUAACCCUAUGCUCAGCUCAGGUAUUAUUAUGGAUUAUCUGGUGAUGUAUGAUAUGACUUAGUAGACAAAAUUAAUUGUCACUCUAACAUGCAUGCCUGAACUCAGAAUGAUGGUGGUUGGCAUCACUCUAUUGGUUAUUGUAGAUUAUUUGCCUAUAGCAUAUAUAGCACCAUUUAUCUGACAUUCAUGAAGAUCCUGUCUUAGGUGCAAUUUUCUUUACUAAGCAUGGGAAAAGAUCAGAUAGAAAUCAGGAAUAUAUGCGACUCUCUGGGAAUUCGCUUGAUUGCUUAUAGUCCUUUAGGACUUGGAAUGCUUACUGGGAAAUAUACUUCUUCAAGACUCCCUCUUGGGCCUAGGUACAUGGAUUUAUCAAGUUUUUACUUCUUGUAGUUGACAAAAGAGGAAGACAAGUCAAGUAUGAUAUAUUUCAUUUAUUAUGGACUCCGUCUAAAAACAUUUGCUGUCUCCUAUUAUUCAGGGCCUUGUUAUUCAGACAAAUUCUUCCAGGAUUAGAGCCUUUACUGAGUUCAUUGAGAGAAAUUGCACAGAAAAGGAAUAAAACUCUGCCACAGGUUUUAUUUUACACUUCCUUUUGCCGUUCCUUGUCAUUAAUACUUAUUGGAAUAUUGAUGGAAAAUAUGUGAAAUUAAUUUCAAUAAUUAUUCUAAUGGAGUUUCUUGUCUGAUAGAAUUUUCAUGACAUCUAGGAUUUAAGGAACUUUGGUUGAAAUGUCAUGGGAACCGUUUCACGUACAACAAAAUGAUGGAUGCAUUCCCACAGUUUAUCACAGUGGGACACACAUGGAAUUCACCAUAAUCAAAUACUUCCAACAGUUAUAUUAAAUAAUUUUCCAGAGGAAGCAGAGUUCUACAAGCUGUUUUGUUAAAUUUACUAAUGCACCUUGUAUCAAGCAUUUAGGCCUCGUUUGGGGUGGAGAUUCAGAGGCCGAAAAACACUUUUGAAAAAUCAACAUUUUAGAUAUUAUUGAAAAAAUUAGUUUGAGAGAAGAUGUUUAAAACAUGUCAAAUUUAACUUUA
rnacentral:misc_RNA from 1 species